ensembl:ncRNA F55C5.16 ncRNA
UCUACCUACAAAAUUACUUUUUACUUGUUCCAAAACAUACAAGGCUAAUUUCAAGAAUUUAUAAUUGAUUGAGAUUUUUCGGUAAGUACAUAACUGUCACUACACUAUUUAGAAGUUAUGU